rnacentral:rRNA from 1 species
UACGAAGGGGGCUAGCGUUGUUCGGAAUCACUGGGCGUAAAGGGCGCGUAGGCGGCCUGAUAAGUAGGGGGUGAAAUCCUGCGGCUUAACCGCAGGGCUGCCUUCUAAACUGUCAGGCUAGAGCACAGUAGAGGCAGGUGGAAUUCCCGGUGUAGCGGUGGAAUGCGUAGAGAUCGGGAAGAACAUCAGUGGCGAAGGCGGCCUGCUGGGCUGUUGCUGACGCUGAGGCGCGACAGCGUGGGGGAGCAAACAGG